AGUAAAAUUAAUAAAAAUCACAGUGCUUGAUUAAYCCAGAAGUGAAAGUAGAAGUCUAGUAGGUUGUAUYAAUACCUUUUGCAUAAUGGUUUCACUAGGAGAAAAGCAAAGGCACCAGCCCGAACUGAGAGGAUCUAGACAAGGUUAGGUGUUAGCUAACAGAAACUUGUGUGGCAAUACGAGAACGAAAAACCUYGUCUAGGGGCGAAAAACCUGCAACUCUCAAGAUAGCUGGAUCCUGGACAAACGUAUUUAGUACGGCAGACAACCAAAAAGUGUCGAGAUUUUUUGGUCAGAGUAUYUUAUAUUGUUUUAGUCGGCUGAAGGGCAAACAACUCAGCUAGCAACAGGCCCCAGUAACUAAUUUUUUUUCCGAUCUCUACCUUAUUCAGGCAUUUCGGUAACUAGUCCCCYAAAAGAUAAUGUGAAAAUGAGUAGUAAUAUGUAAUAACACCAAGGAACUCGGCAAAUGCAUCCCUCACCUGUUUAGCAAAAACAUAGCCCAGGGUAACGCUCCUGGGUAGGUCCUGCCCGGUGAUAAGUUUAACGGCCGCAGUACCCUGACUGUGCUAAGGUAGCGUAAUCAGUUGGCUUUUAAUUGGAGUCGAGAAUGAAUGGGCUUAUGGGGGAGAGCUGUCUCGCUAUUUAUUGUUUUGAAGUUACUAACAGGGUGAAAAAGCCCUGCAGCAGAAAAAAGACGAGAAGACCCUUAGAGUCUUAAUAAAUUUACUGUUCGUAGUAAUGUGUUUUUGUUGGGGCGACAUUGAGGCACCAAACCCUCAAAUAAUAAAAAUAACUAGACGCAAUUAAGAAGCAAGAAAAGACUACCUUAGGGAUAACAGCAUAAUUUUAAUAUAAGUUUGUGACCUCGAUGUUGGACUAGGAACUUUACGACUAGCCGUCGAAAGAGAAGGUUCUGUUCGAACCYGGCCUCCUACAUGAUCUGAGUUCAGACCGGCGCAAGCCAGGUCAGAUUCUAUCUUUUUYGAUGUUUUUUCAGUACGAAAGGACCAAGAAGCAGCAACAUGUGCAUCAUA
rnacentral:rRNA from 1 species